rnacentral:ncRNA from 2 species
CAGCGUUCUCAGGGCGGGGCGGAAUUCCCCACCGGCGGUAUCCGUGGGCCGAAAGGUCUGCGGGAGCCCGCGAGCGCCUGCGGUGCCGCUGGGCAUGGCAGGGUCAGCAGACCUGGUGAGAGGCCAGGGCCGACGGUCACAGUCCGGAUGAAAGAGAUCGCGA